UCGCUAUUAUUGAAGUUAAAGCUAAAGUUAGUUGCUGAUAAAUCUUAAAUCUAAUGUUAGUCGUUGUUAAAACUUAAAUCUACUUGAGAGUACGGUAAGAAGUGAAGUUAUUAAUAACAUACAGUAUAAUAUAAGCUAAAACAGUUUUCCCGAUAGUGUGCCCCACCCGAACGAACAGUAUCUCGAAGUUGGCGUCUUGAUUAGUCGAAUACAUUGAACAUAAAAUUAAAUAAAACGUUGGUACCGUCACGCAACAAUUACCGGCAGCAAUAUUAUGACUGCCAUGCUAGGAGCGCAGUAAAUGUGAGUAGCAAUUAAAGUAAGAUAUUUUAAGGCAAAUCAAUAUCUCUAACCAUUCUAACAGGAAUUUUGUAAUCCCCCGGCUUAAA